GUACACCACUUACGAUGACGAUUGAGAGCUCUUUCUUGAUUUUGUGGGUGGUGGUGCAUGGCCGUUCUUAUUUGGUGGAGUGAUUUGUCUGCUUAAUUGCAAUAACGAACAAAACCUUAACCUACUAAAUAGUGCUGCUACCACUUGCUGGUUGCUCCACUUCUAAGAGGGACUAUCGAUUUCAACUCGAUGGAAUUUUGAGGCAAUAACAGGUCUGUGAUGCCCUUAGACCUUCUGGGCCGCACCCCCGCUACACUGACGGAGCCAGCGAGUAUAAUCCUUGGCCGAGAGGUCUGGGAAAUCUUGUGAAACUCCGUCGUGCUGGGGAUAGAGCAUUGUAAUUGUUGCUCUUCAGCGAUAGAAUAAUAA
rnacentral:rRNA from 1 species